ACAGUCGUGGCCGAGUGGCCGAUGGACUAGAAAUCCAUUGGGGUCUCCCCACACAGGUUCGAAUCCUAUCGACUGCG
rnacentral:tRNA from 2 species